rnacentral:ribozyme from 1 species
GAAAAAAAAAAAAAAAAAAAAAAAAAAAAUG